UCAAUAAUUUUGUAUUGAGUGUUCAGGUGUUUGCAAGAUGAUUUAAUAGUAUGCUUUUUUUUUAUUUAUUCUUCUAGGUGCAUUGUGUUUGACUGGAGUUCCUGACUUUAUUGAAGAUGGAACCUUGUUUUUUCACCAGUUUUUCUGUAUACUGUUUUCUCCAUAGCUGAUGGGAGGUACAACAGUCAUGAGAGAGGCAGUGUAAACCACCUGGCCCUCUGCAUCACAGUGUGCAGGCCUGAACGUCAGAAGAGUCUCGUCUCGUAAAGCAUGAGGUGCAAAUCAAUGUGCGAAGCAGGAUAUCCACACCAGAAUGGACUUAAGCAAGGUG